UCGAGAAUAUUUAGCAAUGGACGAAAGUCUGACUAUGCGACGCCGCGUGAGGGAUGAAGUCUUUCGGUACGUAAACCUCUUUCGAUAGGGAAGAAACUAACUAUAGUAAUAUAGGAACUGACGGUACCUAGAGAAGAAGCCAUGGCCAACUCCGUGCCAGCAGCCGCGGUAAUACGGGGAUGGCGAGCGUUACUCGGAGUUACUGGGUGUAAAGGGCAGGUAGGCGGCCCGGAAAGUUGAAGGUGAAAUGCUCUGACUCAAUCAGAGAACUGCCUUCAUAACUACAGAGCUUGAGGAUUUGAGAGGAGAGCGGAAUUCCCGGUGUAAGGGUGAAAUCUGUAGAUAUCGGGAGGAACACCCGUGGCGAAAGCGGCUCUCUGGCAAAUCCCUGACGCUAAGCUGCGAAAGCUAGGGGAGCAAACA
rnacentral:rRNA from 1 species